CCUGUGAUGGCAGCGUUGUCUCUGAGUGUCCCGCGGAUGCCAGCGCCGGCUGCAUAGUUUCCAAUGCCGGCUGGCCUGCAGCCUCACCUCUCACAAGUUUCCAGGACCUGGCCUGCUCCGCAAUCGACUGCUCACUGUUUCCUACGCCUCUGGGCUUUUAUGUCCGGGUAGCUGCUGGACAAACAGCCUGGUUGUCAAGCCAGUGCUGCAUUGGAGAACUGUGCAAUAGCACCAGCCUGGCACCAGAUGUUCUGACUCCUGCGACUGGCGACACCCAGUGCCCUUCCUGCAUAGGGGUUAACGACACCUCCUGUGACGAGAGUUUCGUGAGGUGUAACCCAGAGGAACGGUGCGUUGAUGGGCUUGCAGCAGUCGUGCAAGGGACCAGAGACAAGGACAACUUCACACUGGCGGUCAAAGGCUGCUCCAACAUCACCGACGACCUCUGCGGGCUCCUGUCCACACCGAACACCAAGAUAGGGAACAUCGUCUUUCAGCAGCUCAACUGCAGCAACGCCACCCAGAUC